GAUGAAGAACGCAGCGAAAUGCGAUAAGUAAUGUGAAUUGCAGAAUUCAGUGAAUCAUCGAAUAUUUGAACGCACAUUGCGCCCGCCAGCACUCUGGCGGGCAUGCCUGUUCGAGCGUCAUUUCAACCAUCAAGCCCCCAGGGGCUUGUGCUGGGGCCCUGCGGCUGCCCGCAGGCCCUGAAAACCAGUGGCGGGCUCGCUAGUCACACCGAGCGCAGUAGCACAUCUCGCUCAGGGCGUGCGGCGGGCUCCUGCCGUGAAACCCCCCACUGUAACCCCAAAGGUUGACCUCGGAUCAGGUAGGAAUACCCGCUGAACUUAAGCAUAUCAAUAAGCGGAGGA
rnacentral:misc_RNA from 1 species